GUCCUACGGGGGCAGCAGUGGGGAAUAUUGGGCAAUGGGCGCAAGCCUGACCCAGCAACGCCGCGUGAAGGAAGAAGGCUUUCGGGUUGUAAACUUCUUUUAUGAGGGACGAAACAAAUGACGGUACCUCAUGAAUAAGCCACGGCUAACUACGUGCCAGCAGCCGCGGUAAUACGUAGGUGGCAAGCGUUAUCCGGAUUUACUGGGUGUAAAGGGCGUGUAGGCGGGACUGCAAGUCAGAUGUGAAAAUUAUGGGCUCAACCCAUACCCUGCAUUUGAAACUGUCGUUCUUGAGUGAUGGAUAG
rnacentral:rRNA from 1 species